rnacentral:rRNA from 1 species
AGGAAAAGAAACUAACAAGGAUUCCCCUAGUAACGGCGAGUGAAGUGGGAAAAGCUCAACUUUGUAAUCUGGCUCUUUCAGAGUCCGAGUUGUAGUCUCGAGAAGCAACAUCCGCAUCGGACCUUGGGUAUGUCUGUUGGAAAACAGCGUCGUAGAGGGUGACAAUCCCGUUUGUACCAAGGACGACCGCGUGCAUUGUGGUGUGCUUUCCAAGAGUCGAGUUGUUUGGGAAUGCAGCUCAAAUUGGGUGGUAAAUUCCAUCUAAAGCUAAAUAUUGGCGAGAGACCGAUAGCGAACAAGUACCGUGAGGGAAAGAUGAAAAGCACUUUGGAAAGAGAAUGAAACAGUAUGUGAAAUUGCUGGAAGGGAAACGAUUGAAGUUAGACUUGCGUGGGCCCCACUCAGCCUUUUUGGUGUACUUGGGGCCCGUUGCAGGCCAGCAUCGGUUUGCUUCGCGGAAUAAGGGUGCGCGGGAUGUGGCUUCUUUUGAAGUGUUAUAAACGCGCACUGGAUGCCGAGUCGCAGACCGAGGAACGCAGCGUGUUUGUAGUGCCUGCAGGUACAGAGCGCUUAGGAUGCUGGUAGAAUAGCUUUAAACGACCCGUCUUGAAACACG